GUGUUCAAACUAUUUGUGCUCUUAGAAAAUAAAAAAAAGAAUAUUUCCGUAGCCCUAUUUUUUAUGGAGGAGGUUCGAAAUGUGCCACGGAGGAAUUUAAGAGAUGCUUCGAAUUUAUUUGAAGUACCUAACAACCAGUUUGUGGCCAACUUUCGUGUGUCGAAGGAAAUUUUCGGGCUCUUUUGGAUAUGAUGGAAGAGAAGUGGGUGCCCGGUUGCAGAACUACCCAAAUCCGCCCCGAUUUAAAACUUCUUCUGCUGCUUCCAAAAAUUGGCAUUCCUCUGGCGAACACAAGAUUCUCCUCCAUUUACUCAACUAGUGCCCGCAGCUGUGUAGUUGAUGAUUUUUUCGUGCUGGAAUUGAGAAAAUAAAAAAUAUAUAUAUUUGUUGUUCACAUAUUAAAUUGCAUUUAUUAUUUUUACUUACAUUUUUGUUUCCAUUUUCAAUCAAGCAAUGUUUAUGUUAAAACAAUUUUCCUUAAUUGUUAUUAUACGAUAGCAAACACACAAGUGACUGAUUUUGACAUUUGUGUUCGCAUGCGUACGAAAGAAAAAAGAUAGUGGAACGCAAAAUUACACUGAAAUGCUUACGUUUUCGUUCGCUUUGAUUUUCGUGCAAAUUUUCGUUCUGAUAGAUUUUAGUGGAACGGAAAUCAGCUGUUUGUCGUGUAAAAGUUGUGCGAACGUGUUCUUUCGAUAUCGUGGAACUGGCUGUUAAUGGUGCCGUCAGCUGGGCUGAUGCGAUUACCUAGUACAUCUACCUUGUUGUGUGGCUUGCAUUAUGGUUGUCGUCGGCGUCGCAAAAUGAAGUCGAGGCGACAAUAAUGAUAUUUGGGUUGUCGUUUUUUGUCGAUAGCGACAAGUAAAGUAAACUUUAUUAGAGUCUUCUUCUUUUUCAUUGGUAAAUGUGAAAAGAGAAAAUGAAGCUUGCUCCCGGCCUCCGCUGAUACGAGCAGAACUUUGACGUCUGCAGUAAUAAUAAGUAAUCAAAACAAACUAAAUAACAAAGUGGUCUGUUAAAACAGUGUCGAACAGAGGGUAUAAAAAUGAUAGUUUUUUAAUAUAAUUGUAUGCUUAAUGUAUAGUUUAUCACAAUAAAUCACAUAUAAUAUAACGGAUAAUACUAAUCGAGUGCUCAGUGAGCUUAUAUAUGGAAGCAAUUUAAUGGAACCUUAUAUGCCAGAAGCGAUUUUUUUGUAAAAUUGUGGCAAGUUGUGGUCAAGAAGGCUUUCAAGCGUUUUGUUCAAGAUUCUUACAGAUGAUAAAUAGGAGGAUUGUGACCAGGAAAUUUCUUUUUCAAUUUCAUAAAUUUCAUUCAUCACAUAGUUUUCAUGCGUGGCAAGUUUUUCGAUGAAUGUUAAUUGUUGGCGUUGGGCAUUUUCACAAAGAGGAACAACAUUUGACGCAGUAUAUAUGACUUCCAAUUCUUUGGCCACUGUUGGGGAAAUAGAGAACCAGAUCGGAAAUCCAUAGAGCAAAAUAGGACGGAUUGCUACCUUGUAGAGUUUUGUUUUUUGAGGUAGGUGUUUAUUGUUUAACACAUAUGCAAAUCUUGCUAAACGCCUUUUCCUUUUUGCAUGAUUGAGCGGGCAUGGAAAUUAAAUUUCAUUAAGUUGUUGAAUUGGAUGCCGAGAUAUUUGAAAGAGGUUCUGAAUGGUAUGUUUACGCCAUACAAGGACAGUUGUAGUGAUUUGCUCUCUGGGACAACGUACCAUGGGCAUUUUCCGGAGGCGUUACGUAUGCAGAUUGCAACAAACUUCGCUGCGUUUAUUUGGCUACCCCACUUUUUGUAGUAGCUGUUAAUGUUCUGAAGGUGAUUUUUUGCGUUAUUUAAUGCAAUUGACGGUGAUGUGUGAUGCGCAUAAAUGAGGCAAUCAUAGGCGUAUAAAAUUGCUUUUGAAUUUUGACUGAUGUGAGGGAAGUCGUGAAGGAAUAGAUUGAACAGAAAUGGUGCCAAAAUACUGCUUUGUGGGACUCCGCUAUUUACUUCUCUCGGAGGUGACGAUGCGUCAUUUAUAUGGACGGAAAACGUUCUUGAUGUGAAGAAACUUUUCAUCAUUUUUAUUAAGACUAACUCGAAGAUUUUCCCAAUGUUGGACAACAACGAAAUUGGCCGAAAGUCAUCAACAAACGCAGCAUUGAUUUGGGCACGAUUCCAUUGUAUUGGAAAAUACCCAUUGUUGAUGCAAUUGUUGAACAGACAAAUGAAAAAUCUUACUGCUGUGUCCGGAAAUUUUUUAAUUAUAAAGAGUAGUAAAAUGAUGGGAGUCGGGAUUGUUCAGGACACUGAAUUCGUCAUGUAAGGUGUUGUGACGUCAAUACACGAUGAAACCCUGGAAUUCAGAUCGUGAACUGGAUGUAGAGGCAAUUUCUCUAGGAAAAUUGAAGAAUAAAAUGACUGGAACUUAUUUGCAAUUUCAGCGCUGUUUGUAAUAAUACUGUCGCCGUGUUGAAGUUUUUGACAAAAAGAUGAGUUUGUUUUUCUAGUAAAUUGGGAAAUUUUUUUGAAAGCUGA